rnacentral:rRNA from 1 species
GACGAACGCUGGCGGCGUGCCUAACACAUGCAAGUCGAACGGAGUGAUCCUUCGGGGUCACUUAGUGGCGAACGGGUGAGUAACGCGUGAGAAACCUGCCUUUCAGUGGGGGACAACAGUUGGAAACGACUGCUAAUACCGCAUAAUGUUAUUUGGGGGCAUCCCCGAAUAACCAAAGAUUUAUUGCUGAAAGAUGGUCUCGCGUCUGAUUAGCUAGCUGGUGAGGUAACGGCUCACCAAGGCGACGAUCAGUAGCCGGUCUGAGAGGAUGAACGGCCACAUUGGGACGGAGAUACGGCCCAGACUCCUACGGGAGGCAGCAGUGGGGAAUAUUGGGCAAUGGGGGAAACCCUGACCCAGCAACGCCGCGUGAAGGAAGAAGGCCUUCGGGUUGUAAACUUCUUUUACCAGGGACGAAGAACGUGACGGUACCUGGAGAAAAAGCAACGGCUAACUACGUGCCAGCCGCCGCCGUAAAAC